UCUCUGCCAAAGCUAAAUGCUGAAGUAUGGAGGGUGAAGCCUGCCCGAUGGUUGUGUCUGAAAAGGUUGGCUAAAGUCAACUUCAUAAGGGCAAUUGAAUGGCCGCGGUAACACUGACCGUGAUAAUGUAGCGUAAUCAAUAGCCAAUUAAUUGUUGGCCGGUAUGAAUGGCAUCACGAAGGCCCCACUGUCUUAAGAGGACUCUCCAUGAAAUUGAAUUCGUAGUGAAGAUGCUACGUCCAUAUUGUAAGACGAAAAGACCCCAUUGAGCUUUACUAAAGACUUGUAUGGCUCGAAAUAACUUAAAUAAAAAGUUUAGAUAAUGUGGGAUCCGUUUUUGGUUAAUGAAACACCACUCUUUUAUUUUAAGAGAGCUAACCUGACAGGGAGAAUCCAAGUUGGAUAGUUUGGUUGGGCCGACCACCUUUUAAAAGGUAACGAAGGUGAGCUUAAGGUCCAUAGUUAAUAGCUUGUGGCCUGACUGCAAGGGGGACACCCCGAGCAGACACGUCCUUAAGGAUGUGGGUUAUAGUGACCCGUCAUUUUAGAGUGGAAUAAUUGACGAUCAACGAAUAAAAGCUACCAUGGGGAUAACAGCGUUAUAUCGUUAGAGAGUUUCAUCGACGACGAUGUUUGCGACCUCGAUGUUGAAUUGCGGCACCCUGGGGUGCAGCCG
rnacentral:rRNA from 1 species